CUCUUACUCUGGUCACCACACGGAGUUUAGUACGUCCUUGAUACUUUUAAAACAUGUUCAUGAUGCUUUACACACGAAGAGUCACGCGGGGUGCCUUCAGACCACCAUAAUGAAUGGUUUAUUUUCUCCAGGUUACAUGAUGAUUUGAUGGCUAAUCUACAGUGCACUGAAAAGGUGUGCAUCUGCAUCUCAACACUGGAUUGGUGUUAAUCAGAGAUCAGAAGCAAUGGUCUGGACCAUCUCGCCCGGGUCACAUGGAACAAAUGGCAUGUAUGAAGUGUGGAAGCCAGUCCACAGUGACCAUGCCGAGAGUUGGGAGAGAUAUCGGUCCAAGAGAAUACUGUAACACCCAUACCGAUUGUUUUUAAAAAUGUAUUUCACAAGUCUUGUUUCAAAUAAAAGCGUCUGA